UACAGAGGUGGCAAGCGUUGUUCGGAAUUACUGGGCGUAAAGGGCGCGUAGGCGGUUCGUUAAGUCCUGUGCGAAAUCCCCCAGCUCAACUGGGGAACUGCACAGGAAACUAGCGGGCUUGAGUUCGGGAGAGGGAAGCGGAAUUCCGGGUGUAGCGGUGAAAUGCGUAGAUAUCCGGAGGAGCACCGGUGGCGAAGGCGGCUUCCUGGACCGACACUGACGCUGAGGCGCGAAAGCUAGGGGAGCAAACGGG
rnacentral:rRNA from 1 species